GGGAGAUAAGGAAAGACUUGCUUUCCUCUUACUUUUUAACAUCUUUCCUCUUUGAAGCAAGCAGAAUAAUGUUGGACACUGGUUUAUAGUUACUUGGUUGUCUUUGUACAUGUGUUUUCUAUUAAACACAGAAGCAUAUGCACUGUUCUUUCUAUGCACUGAAAGCAGUUCUAGAAUAUCACAGAAAACUGUGUGCUUUAAAAGAUUAUUCACACACACACACAAAUGUAUAUAUUUGCAAAUUUUUGCAAGGUUUUGGCAGGGGAUGCUGGCAGGCCUGCGGAGCUCACAGCACUGGGGGUGGGAACCAUGCAGGAGUGGGGCGAGGAGAGCGCCAGGGGGCUGCUGGGGGCCGUGUGCUGUGCAAGAGGGAACCGGAGCGAAUGCCACCUAAUGGAGAGACCCAACCAUGGCCAGCGAAGAGUUCAGCACUCAGGAUAAGGCAGGAGAGCUGCAGCCGGUCCCUGUAAAGCCUCUCUGGAAGGUGUGAGGAAGGCAAAAGGUAAGAUUUGUAAAGGCAAAUGGAGAACAAAAGCUUGCCGGCCAAAAGGGAUAUUCUGAUUCUCUGUCGAUUUUACUGUUCUGCUGCCAAGCUUUAAAAGGGGGAGGGGGAAUGACAAUCCAAUCAAAGAGCAGACAGGGAUUUGAAAACUUCAUUCUGAUUGUAGUCAGGACAGAAAAUGGCACAACAUGAAUCCAUUCUAGUGGCAAUGAUUGUCAAUGAGAACGGGAAUGGCACAAAGGUAACCCCUUACAGCCUUAACAAGGUGCCCUUGUGUGGUCCCAACACCCUUUGGCUCUUUAUGUUGUGGAAUUUGCCAGUUUCUUUGCUGGAAUAACUGUAUGCUCACAGCUCUGGAGCACUGCAUUAACAAAUAGGUAUUCAUCUUUGAAGAACAGGAGCUUCCACGUUAAUUACAUCGAUGCCAAUCAAUAAACAUCUUCAAACUGUUCUAUAACAUCACAAAAGUGAUGCCACGGUGGUUAAGGACGCACUUGCCAUAGAAGCCUAUCCUGGUCACUUUGAGCACUCUGAAAAGCAGACUUCUGUCUAAGAUGUGCUGUGCUUAUUCUCAGCAGAAAAAGUCAAGAGACAAAUAUUUCAAACUGCGUGCCUUGGCUAGGACACACGCAAACAACUGUACCCAUGAGCAAACAGCCCAUGCAGUCUGCAUGCAGGCAUGCAUUUGCACAUACAAAAUGGGAUUCGUGUGUGUAAACAGGACUUUGCUUACAUGCGUUGAUUAUCUGCAGCAGAAAACAGUAGGAAAACAUUGCUUUAAUUGUUUUAGAAAGUGAAGCUGGAUGGUAAUAUUAGCCUGGAACAUUUCAUGCUGUUAUCCACUUCCCACUCUCCUGGGAAAGAGCUGGGAAGGGUUUGUUGGGCUGCAGAUAGAGCUCACUUGUUUUGCAUCCAGCUGGAAGAGAAGUGGGACGCAGAUCCAGGGAUGAGUGACAGCGAGAGUCAGAUGGGUCUGUGCGGAAAGGCUCCCAGGGACUGCUUGGGGGCUGCUGAGCCUCCAAGCCAAGGGUGGAGCGAUGCUGGAGCAGCAUUGGGAGAGAGCAGGGGCAGGAUGGGAGCCAAGGCUCUCCAGUUAAGUGAUGCUCUAACCCUUUGUGGUGUAUUUCUGUAGCACGUCCAAAUUUGUAAGGCAAACUUGUUAGAAUUUGGUUAAAAUUUACGUGAUUGCUGUAAGGUGUGCUUGGCACCUCAUCCAAACACUUUGGGAAUCCCAGCAUGAGGUGCCAUUUAGCAAAUACAUGACAAAUUCCAGAGAUACUUUGGGGGAAGUAUGCCCAGAUUAAGUUUAUAAAGUACCAUAUAUUGUUUUAAUAAAAUGUUAAUACUAUAAAUAAGAAAAUGAGGUGGAUGAUGGCUUUGUAUUUAAGGUUGAAUUAGGCUUUCCAUUUAAGACGAAAGAUACUCUUAUAAAUGUGCUUUUAUUAUCCAUGCCAAAGGCAUUUGCUAUUUUCCUUCAUUUGCAUUUCCCAAUAUUUCUUGGUGCUUCAUAAAUAAAAAAUGCUCCUUUUUUAGGAUGCUAUUGUCCUUCUACUGGUGUGGUAUUUGGAAACCACCCACCAUGUAUGUGCAGUAAGUGAUCUCAUCUUAAAUCUAUUAUCAGUAUUCUGGGGAAAAAUAAUAGAUUUGGAAUAAAAGGAAGAAAAUGCAUCUGUUCAUUUGAACAAAUCAUAAUGCAUUCAUGCAUUUCAACAUUAGGGAAAAGCAGUCUUCCAUACACAGAUUAUAAAAUGACAGGACGUGUCAAGUUGUUGCCUAACCAAAAUGGCUUCUCUGCGAGGUUUAUAUUUGAAUGCAAAUCUGAAGAGGCUGAUGUUUGCACUGUUUUCAGAUACCUGUAGGACAUGGAGAUCAGUGCUAUCAGAGUGCAUCCUCAGUAGUGUUGUGGGCAACCCAGCAGUAGAAGCAGUGCAGGAGAUUUUUCCACCACCUUCCUUUUCCUGUUCUUCUAUGGUUUUCUGAAGUCAAUGCUAAGUGUUUGUCAGAGCUCUCACUGGCCCAUUGCUUGGAGAAGAGCUAUCAACACACUUUGUUCUUAUGUUGGGUGAUGGGGAACGAAGGAGCACCAGUACAGACUGAUGACCAAAGGCCACAUUUUGGGACCACUGUUGGAUGUGUUACUCUCUGCUAAAGAUAAUCCCAAUUCUGAAGGACUGCUGUGUAUUUAACUGUAUCCUUGAGCUGUUUCCAUUUCUGCAUUUAACAGACUGACACUUCCAGAUUUAACAGAUUGUCUCCCCAUCUCCCACAUCCUCCUUUAAGUUACCCAAAUGAAUAUGGUUUCCUGAAUCCAAUGACAGGGAUCUCUUUUAGUUUCAUUGGCUGCAGGCUCACAUCCGAAGGCAACAUUGACUGACAUAAGAACAUUUGACAUAUACAACCUGGACUGUAGUGACACAGAAGUCAGAUACUCUUAUGAUACUCUUCAGCGCAUUCAAACAUGUAUUUUUCCUCGAAUACUUAAUGUUUUCAGACUGAAGAUUUUUUCUUCUCUUCAAACAGCGGAGUGAAUGUGAGAGAAUUUUUACAUUUAAUUGCUGUGCACAUGGGGUGUCUUCCUCUUGUGACCAGAAGGUCAUUGCCUUUGGGAUCCCAGAACACUACCAAGCCUUAAUGCACAUUCAGAAGAUCACCACUUUUCUGGUGUUUGUGAUGAAAACUUGCAGCCUUUGUUCUGAAGAUGAUGAGGCACAAUGACCAGUAAAAAACAGUUAUAAAUAUAGGGGGCAUUAACAAAGCUUUACGUUGUAAGGCAAAAGUUUCAUUCCUAUCUAUUUUGUUUUCUGUUUGUUUCUUUUCCAGUGGAAAUAAGUACAUGGAUUUAUAUAUUUGUAUAUAUAUAUAUAAAGCUAAAAAUUAAAGUACACAUUUGAGAACAAUUUUGUUGAAAGCAUGGCCACUCAAGGACAGUGAAAUAACAUAAACAAAAUACAAUCUGAGGCCAUUUCAGCACACUUCCUCCAUGGACUGUAUCCCAACCUGUGUACACAAAUAGCCCACACUGCGUGCCCGAAGUAAGGCAAGAUGGAUCCCUCCCCGGCCAAAAGAAAAUGAAAGUUCAAGAAUUUUUACAGUGUGUCAGAGCUUCCUGUUUUUUCACAUUUACCCAGACUACAGAAAUGUGAGACUCGUGAAAGACCCCUCCGCCCUACAGAAUGAUCAUGAAAUGUUCCUGGGACUGGCCCGAAGCCGACUGAAGCCUUUUGGAAGUGUUCCAGCCGAUUCAAUGGGUUCUGAUUCAGGCUUUGAAUUGAGCCUUAACUUUAUACGUUUUUGAUUAUUGAAAAGGCUCUAAUUCCCUCCUGCCUCCGUGUGUGCUGAUACAGAGACCUCAUUUUCCAUUGGUCCACACUAGAAUUUGUCACUCCACAGGAAACAUGCAACACUUUAAAUUGAUGCAGCCAGUCAGUGUACUUUUCUAAUGGACUUUGGGAGGUGUUAGUGGAGCCGUGUGAUGCAGACUGAGGGCACAGUUGACAUAAAUUAUUUCUAACCCUCACAGAACUGUGAGGUUGGAAAUGGAAAUAUAGCCCUUCAACUUCAAAGCACGUGAGCCCACAUGAGCCACCUGUGCUGGGAGAGUCACACACCCAUAGGUGUCAACCAGCAUCCCUCUGCAGGCACCAAAGCUUUACAAAUGCUUAGCUGCCUGAUUGCUAGAGCAAAGAAAAGUGGACACUUCCAUUGCAGCAUUAGAAAAAUAACAGUGGAGAGCAGAAAGUCUGGGCCAAGGCAAAACGUUUUGACUUCUGGAUGCAGCAGAGAAAGAGGAGAUUGGAGACACAAGAAAGUAAAUGCACAAGGAGGAGGUGGAAAUACUCGCCAGCACCUUGGGGAAAUCUGUGUUUUGUGUCUCUCAGCAACCAAGAGGCAACAAGUUCACAAGAGUGAGGGAGACUGGCAUGGCACCAGCCCCUAGAUACUCUUAUUUGGAGAAACAUAGAUGUGAGUGCUGAAGAGAGAGAAAACCCCGAGAGCAAGUAAUGAUGGCAGCUACAUACAGAAUUACCUAUGAAAUAUCCACAGAUGUAGUUUCACUGUAUUAUUUUUAGAAUAAAACAGAGCUGAUGUGUUGAAAGAAGAGUGCAAGGGUUAAUCACUUUACAGAUACAAACAACACGAGGUCCAGAUCACUCUGAGAAUACAGCUUCCAGCUAUGCCUGCUUUAAUAUCUUCCCUUUCCUCCUGGCGGUGCAAUAAGGCAAUUCAGCACACAGCCAAGGUAUUUUGUGAUACGCUGUCAUCUCCAGCCAACUUCUGAAAGGCUGUGUGGUGAGAAGGGAGGAUUCACAAGCUGAUACCCUGACACCGCUGAGCUGCUCUCAGAGAAGCGUGCCAGCUCACAGUGGAGUUACCAAGUUGCAGCCUUGGUUCCAAUCCCGUUCUUUUUUUGCCUCCUCCUCCAGACUUUCUGAUGACCUACUCAGUAAAUGAGGAAAUCCUGAGUGAACGCUGAACUUCAACGAGCCAACUGAUGAACCAGCAGCACCACUGCUGCUUUGCCUUUAUUUAGGACAGUUAAAAAUCAGGAUGAAGAGAUUACUUUCUCUCUGCACAAUGACUUUUAUUCUUUCCUUUCUCUGCUGUAAGUUCCUGUCCUGAGAAAUCCUAUUAUCUGUUUGCCUUUUCUUCUCUUCUGGCCUUCACACAUCUAGGAGUUCAAAGUUAUGCUAUGAACCUACAAUCUCUCUUCUUCCACAGCAAAAACUUUUAACAGUCCACUCUGAUAUGACCUUGCACUUUCUUAUCAUGGAUAUUAUCUAAUUUCCCUAACUCCUGUCCUUAAGUUCCUCUUUUUGCUGCUUUCCCAGUCCUCCUGCCUAUCAAUCAGUUAUGCUUCCCAGCUUGGUGUCAAUACACUUUAUUGGCCAAGUCUUUGAGAGAUUUUUAGGACAGUCAGUUGUUGCUGGCUGCUCAGCUCCCCCAGUAUUGAGUUUGGUCACAGCUUUUAGAUAGGCAACAUCUGGAACUGGCAACUUAACUGCCUGUAAACUCUGAUUUCUUCUGACAUUUUCAUCUUCAAGUACAUCUCAUAUUUCUCAAAGGAAGUAAGCAAGUUCAGGGCAGGCAUAUUUUCACAUUUCUGAUGAUAGACAUGAAUGAAGGGAAACUAUUUAGUUCCUCAGCAAUUUGUUUAUUUUGAGUAUUCCCUUCUAUCCCUCGUGAUCCUGUGGGCCCUUAGAUCUUUCAGUGAGACCCUCUUUCACAUAUAGGUGAAGAAUCUCUUACUGUUUUAAAUAUUUUGUAUUUUUCUUUAAAAUAUUUAUAAUGAACCUUCCUAUUAAUUUCCUUCUUUAUUGCCUGCUGUGACUUAUGCUUCUCUUUAGUGGCAUCCCUAAAGCUUUAUUUCCCCAUUUUGACUUUGUAUUUGAGCCUCUCCAACCUUGCUGUUAAUGGCUUUGCUGUCAGCGGUAAUAAUUUCUCCAGAGUAUCUCUGUUCAGUAGCACUCAACCCUUAUCCAAAACAAGGGCCAGAGCAGCUUCAUCUCUCCAUGGUGAUUGAACCAGACCUGGACUCCACUAAAUUCUUUUGGGACCAAGGGCUGAGACAGGAGCAAGGGGAGGAUGUGUCUGCAGGCUCUGGGACAGGCUCUAUCUAUCCAUUCGUCUAUCUAUCCAUCCAUCCAACAAUCAUCAUAGAAUCAUCAUAGAACAGCCUGGGUUGAAAAGGACCACAAUGAUCAUUGAGUUUCAUCCCCCCUGUUAUGUGCAGGGUCACCAGCCACUAGACAUAGCCGGAGGGUUGAAAUCCAUCCAUCUGUGUGUGUGUGCAUACAAAGCAUCCAUCAUUAUAGAGCCACAGUCUUGGUACUUUCCUGUGGUAAAAAAUAAAUAACAAAAUAUUAUUGAUAAAUAAGCAAUUGUUGAUUAUAAAGAUAAAUAAGCAAUUGUUGGGAACAAACAAAUAAAUGCAGGACAGUCUAAACGAAAACCUGGAGAAAUUAAGAAAGUUGCUGAAAAAAAGUAUGCUUGGACAUCCUGUACAGAAAAGUGGUAUAAUAACUGACUUCUGAACGUAGCUGACUCAUAAAAUUCUCUGUUUUGUUUUUUUCUCAUUCAUUUAUUCUGAAGCUAAUCAAGUGGCUUUUGAAACUUCUUGGGUUAAUUAGAGGAGGAAAUAAUGGAUGAUGGUAAUCUUUCCCUAGAAGAGAUGCCUUGUGAAGUUACCUACAUUGCCCGAGAAAUGCUACGAUGCCCUUCCGUUCUGAAAGAGAUCUGUGCUAAGGGAUGGCAGUGCAGAAGCAUUGCACAACGUCUUCAGUUCACGGCAGUCUGGCAGGUCGUGUUAAUUCAACAGCAUUCUUGAAAUCAAAGUCUAAGGUUACGCUGCCAACUGGAAAUUAUACCUGUUCCUGCAAAAUAUGUCAUCAUCAAAGGGGUAGGUAAUGUAUAGUACACUACAAAGACUGCAUACAUGCAUUCUUUUCUCUGAGGUUGCUUCCCAGAUUUUUCUUCGCUAAAAUGACCCUUAUUAAAAUAUAAAGCUCACUGAAUAGGAAAACAAAGCAGUAAAAGCAAAUAGUGGGACAAACAUAUUUCAAAGAGAUUUAAAAAUAAAUCCCAGAGAUAACGUUUCAAAACUGUGCUGCUGGGACUUGGUUUUCUUUCUAAAGUUUUUCUGCGGUAGGAAUCAUAGAAGGCUGAUAGUGAUUAAAGUUUGUAAUGAAGCAAAUCUGGUGCCAUGAUAUAACUUUUUGAUCUAUAGCACCACCCCCACACCCUUCACUAACCUCAGCACCUCAAAAUCCCUUUGAUACAAGCAUAGGAAAUGAAAGCUCUUUCCAAAAUGCUGAUUUCUGUUCAAAGUGGCUGUCAAAUAAAAUAAAAAUCAACCUAAGUUUCUGGUAUAGUCACAUUCUUCUAAGUUUUUCUUGUACGACUGUUAUCUGAUUUACUGGAAAUACUGCAUAUCUCGUUUUCUUGAUACAGCAUGCUGCACACUUCUCAG
ensembl:lncRNA